GCAUAUCAAUAAGCGGAGGAAAAGAAACCAACAGGGGAUUGCCCCAGUAACGGCGAGUGAAGCGGCAACAGCUCAAAUUUGAAAUCUGGCCCCGGGCCCGAGUUGUAAUUUGCAGAGGAUGCUUUUGGCGAGGUGCCUUCCGAGUUCCCUGGAACGGGACGCCAUAGAGGGUGAGAGCCCCGUACGGUUGGACACCAAGUCUUUGUAAAGCUCCUUCGACGAGUCGAGUAGUUUGGGAAUGCUGCUCAAAAUGGGAGGUAUAUUUCUUCUAAAGCUAAAUAUUGGCCAGAGACCGAUAGCGCACAAGUAGAGUGAUCGAAAGAUGAAAAGCACUUUGAAAAGAGGGUUAAACAGCACGUGAAAUUGUUAAAAGGGAAGCGCUUAUGACCAGACUUGCGCCCGGUGAAUCACCCAGCUCUCGCGGCUGGGGCACUUUGCCGGCUCAGGCCAGCAUCAGCUCGCUGUCGGGGACAAAAGCUUCGGGAACGUAGCUCUCUUCGGGGAGUGUUAUAGCCCGUUGCAUAAUACCCUUCGGCGGGCUGAGGUACGCGCUCCGCAAGGAUGCUGGCGUAAUGGUCAUCAGCGACCCGUCUUGAAACACGGACCAAGGAGUCAACCUUAUGUGCGAGUGUUUGGGUGUUAAACCCCUACGCGUAAUGAAAGUGAACGCAGGUGAGAGCUUCGGCGCAUCAUCGACCGAUCCUGAUGUUCUCGGAUGGAUUUGAGUAAGAGCAUAUAGGGUUGGACCCGAAAGAAGGUGAACUAUGCGUGUAUAGGGUGAAGCCAGAGGAAACUCUGGUGGAGGCUCGCAGCGGUUCUGACGUGCAAAUCGAUCGUCAAAUAUGCGCAUGGGGGCGAAAGACUAAUCGAACCUUCUAGUAGCUGGUUCCGCG
rnacentral:rRNA from 1 species